rnacentral:rRNA from 1 species
GAUGAGCGCUGGCGGCGUGCCUAAUACAUGCAAGUCGAGCGAACGGACGAGGAGCUUGCUCCUCUGACGUUAGCGGCGGACGGGUGAGUAACACGUGGAUAACCUACCUAUAAGACUGGGAUAACUUCGGGAAACCGGAGCUAAUACCGGAUAAUAUAUUGAACCGCAUGGUUCAAUAGUGAAAGACGGUUUUGCUGUCACUUAUAGAUGGAUCCGCGCCGCAUUAGCUAGUUGGUAAGGUAACGGCUUACCAAGGCAACGAUGCGUAGCCGACCUGAGAGGGUGAUCGGCCACACUGGAACUGAGACACGGUCCAGACUCCUACGGGAGGCAGCAGUAGGGAAUCUUCCGCAAUGGGCGAAAGCCUGACGGAGCAACGCCGCGUGAGUGAUGAAGGUCUUCGGAUCGUAAAACUCUGUUAUUAGGGAAGAACAAAUGUGUAAGUAACUAUGCACGUCUUGACGGUACCUAAUCAGAAAGCCACGGCUAACUACGUG